rnacentral:rRNA from 1 species
AUUAUUUUAAGAUUAUUUUUUAUUGUUGAAAAAAUUAAAAAUAAAUUGUUUUUAACAAAAAUUAAAAUUUAUAAUAUUUCAUUUUUUGGUUUUUUGUUUUAAAUUAAAAUAAUAAAUAUGGGGGAAAAAAAAAUUUUGUUAUAAAUUAUAUUAGUUUAUUUUAAUUAAAAAUAUUUUUUAUUAAAUUUGUUUUUUUUAUUUUUUUAUAAAAAAUAUUAAUUUAAUUAUUAUUAUUGAGUUUAAUUUAGUUAUUUUUAAAAAAAUUUUGUAUAAAAUAAAUUUGAUAAUAAAUGUUUUUUAAAUUCUUUGGGGGUUAGUUUAUGAUUUUUUGUUUCUGCUCAUUGUUAAAUAAAAGCACUUUUAGCGUGAUUGGUCAAAGGUA